rnacentral:rRNA from 1 species
UACGUAGGGCGCAAGCGUUUGUCCGGAAUUAUUGGGCGUAAAGAGCUCGUAGGCGGUUUGUCGCGUCUGCUGUGAAAACCUAAGGCUCAACCUUGGGCUUGCAGUGGGUACGGGCAGACUAGAGUGCGGUAGGGGUGACUGGAAUUCCGGGUGUAGCGGUGAAAUGCGCAGAUAUCGGGAGGAACACCGGUGGCGAAGGCGGGUC